rnacentral:lncRNA from 1 species
ACAGUUACUUAGUUCAUUUUCAUGUCUUUUUUUUUUCAACUUUUGCAUAUACUAUAUAAACAUGAUUUGAACUUGUGAAUAAAUUGUUACUUUUAUAUCAAUUCAGGUUCUAUGAAAAAAAAAUGGAAAAGAUUAAAUCGUUUGUUAUCCUUGUCCACUAGAAUAUAUUAAAACCACGUUAUAUUAUAGAAACUUCAACCAAUAUUGGCUUCUCUUGUUUUGUAUAAUUUAUUUAUUUAUUUUAUAUAAAUUUGUAACCAAAAGAAUAAUAUGCUUGGCAAGAGGAAAGGGUUAACUAAGAUUUGCAUUCUAUCUCUCUCUCUCUCUCUAUAUAUAUAUAUAUAUAUAAAUAUAAAUGUUAAUUAGGUUUCAUAUAUGUGAUCUUUUGCUUAUUUAUAAAUUUACUUAUCAAUUGUUCAAAAAGAAAAAGAAAAGAACUAAGCUUAAUACACGAAUAAAAUUAGUAAUUGGGUAUAAUGUUAAAUUAUUGAAACACAUUUAUGAUUAAUUGGUGAGUAAAUUUUCAACCUUUUUUACCAAAUUUUCAUACAAAAAAAAUGUCCUACUGUAUAUAUAUUUUCAGGUCCUUGGAAACAUUAUUGCACCAAAAACCAAUACGUGGACAAAAUGUGAUAAUGGUUGCUGGCUGUGCUUCUCACACGUAGCUGGUCUUACUGUUGAUGGAACUGGUCAAAUGGAUGGCAACGGUGCUGCUUGGUGGAAUAAAGUACAAUGCAUACUUAAUUUUAUUGUCCAUUAAUUAAUUAUAAACUAAUUAAAUAAUUCUUCUAAUUCAAUUUAUUUUUCAGACGCCAAAAGAGUGUGCACCAGCGGUAAGUUUGUCUUGCAUAUCAUAAAAUUGAGAUUAAUUAAUUUCAUAAAUUAUCUUGGCCAAUUAAUUUUGUUUAAGAAAUUAAUUAUUGAUGCAGGUUAUUUCUUUCGACAAUUGCAAUAAUCUUAAUUUUCAUGGAAUCACUUCUUUAAAUAGUCCUGGAAAUCACGUUAGCGUGAAUAGAUGCAAAGAAGUGGAUAUAUCACAUAUUCAACUAAUUGCACCCAAAGAUAGUCCCAACACUGAUGGGAUUGACAUCUCCUCAUCCACUGCUCUGCGAAUUUCAGACUGUUUCUUUGGAACCGGUAUAUAUAUAGACUUAUGUAUUUUUAUAUAAUGUUGUUUUCACAUUGUCAGUAUCUCUUUUUUUAAAAAUUAUUAUUUUAUUUAUAAUAUAGGAGAUGAUUGUAUAGCUAUCAAUGGCGGUUCCUCUCAUAUCAACAUCACUCGUCUUACAUGUGGACCAGGCCAUGGAAUUAGGUAAUUUUUUAUUAAUUAAUUUAGCAUAUAAAUAUAUAUAUAUGAAUUUUUUCUAAAAUAAUUUAUCAACUUCUGCUUGUGAUUGUAGUGUGGGAAGUCUUGGAAAAAAUGGGAAAAACGAAACAGUGCAAUGGGUGCAAGUGGAGAAUUCUAUCUUCAAUGGAACUCAAAAUGGAGCUAGAAUCAAGACAUGGACGGUAGUUAUUUUUAUUAUCAUUCUUAAAAGAUUGAUCAAGAAAACUUCUUAAUUUCUUCUCAAUAACAUUAAAUUUUUUUUAGUUUUUUUGUUCUGUAUAUAGGAUGGUGCUGGAUUUGCAAGGAAUAUUUCCUUUGUUGGCGUUCAACUCAUAAACGCUGAAAACCCUAUCAUUAUUGACCAACACUAUUGUCCUCACCAAACAUGUCAACCUGAAGGGGUAAACAUACACAAUUCGUGUUGGAAUUUUUUUAUGAAUAAAAUUUUACUAAUUAAUUAAUUAUAAUGUAUACAUGCAGAAAACAGCAGUAAAGAUAAGCAAUGUGAGAUUUAGUGGAUUCGAAGGGACAUCCGCUACUGAGGUUGCUAUCAAACUGGAUUGCAGUGGUAUAGUUCCUUGCACUGGUAUCACUCUGAACAACAAUAUGAUAACUUCAUCAACUCCUGGAAAGAAGGUUAAAGCUGAAUGCAAUAAUGCUCAUGUCUCUUCCACCUUAACAACUCCCUCAGUCACUUGCUUAAUACCUAAACACAUCAUUUAUUACUCCAAAGCUUAAUGAAAGUACGUACGAGCAGUGAUCUAGAAUGUAUAGGUAGACACUUAAUUUGAUUCAGAUUCGGAUCAAUUAGAUCGAAUUUAAAUGAAUAGGUCCAUUUUAUAUUUUUAUUUUAUUUUAUAUUUUAUAUUUAUUAUUAUUAUUUUUAUAUAUAUAUUUUUUAUUUUUAUCUUAUGUAUUUAUUAUUUAUUUAUUUAUUAUUAUUAUUUAUUUAUAUAUAUUUAUUUCAUUUUUUUGUUAUUUAUCUGUUAAUGUAUAUAUUUAUUAUUUAUUAUUUAUCUAUUAUUAUAUAUAUUUAUAUUUAUCUGAUUAUAUUAUAAUUUAUCUAUUAUUUAUUUUUAGUUAUCUGUUAAUAUUAUCAUUUAUCUGAUUAUUUUUUUAAUUAUCUAUUAGCAUUUUUUUGGUUGAAAUUUGAGGAAUCCUACCGUAAAUGGGGUUCAAUCAGAGUCCAUAUUAGAUUCAAUGAUUGAAUCCCAAUCCAAAGAGGAUUUGGGAUUGAUCAGAAACUCUUCUGAUCAAUCCCUAUAAAAAGACCCACGGAUCAAAGGAAGAACAGGGAGAAAAAAAAGAGAUACUGGCUGAUAGAGAAAAAGGAACACACAGAGAAGAUUUGAAAGUUGAAAUAGGGUUUAGAGGCGUUAUAAUAGCUCUAGGAAUCGGUGAAAAAUUUUUGAAAAAUUUUUUACGAAUUUUUUUUAGAAAUUUUUGAAAAAUUUUUAAAUUUCGGUUGAAUUUUUCAACGAAGAUUGAAUUUUUCGGUGACUUUUCUGGCCAAGUUUGAAUUUUUCGAUCAACUUCCCAAUUUUCGGCAACCAUUUCCAAAAAUCGAUCAGUUUUUCGGUGAACUUUCGGUGAAAAACUCAGAUUUCGAUGAAAAUUUUUAGAAUUCGAUGGGCAUUCAACCGGAGUUCUUCGAAUUUUUAAAGAGAAGGGAAAGAAGAAGAAGGAAGAGAGAGAGAUAGGGAAAGAGGAUUCUGCUGAAAAACAGAAGAAUUCGCCUUAUAUAUCCUCUUCAAAAUGACGUCGUUUCUACGUUAAGUAACCCAGAAGAUCCGCGCGUUUUGUCAAGAUCUGACCCGAUCCGAGCGUCGACCUGCGUUUAACCUGAGUGCGAGUCGUUUUUCGAGUCGAGCCGAGCCACGUCUCCGAGCCAUUUUUCUUCCUCAAGUCGAGCCGAGCCGAGCCGUUGUCGAAUCGUUUUCAGGUUUUUUUUUCAUUUUUUUAUAUUUAUUUAUUUAUUAUUAUUAUUUAUUGAUUAUAUUAUAUUUGUUUAAUACUUUUAUUUUAUUUUCCUUUAUUUUUAUUUUUAUUUUCAUUUUCAUUUUUUCUUUAUUUUAUUAUUUUAUUUUCUUUAAAUAAAAUUCAAAAAAAAUAUUUUUUAGGAAAAGUUAAAAGUAUCAAUUUUCCUUGAAAAUAAACGUUCCAAAAAUAUUUUUGAGAAAAAGUUGAAAGUAUCAAUUUUUCUUAAAAAUAAAUUUUCAAAAAAGAUUUUUUUCAGGAAAAGUUGAAAGUAUCAAUUUUUCUUAAAAAUAAAUUUUCAAAAAAAGGUUUUGAGAAAAAGUUGAAAGUAUCAAUUUUUCUCGAAAUUAAAGUUUCUAAAAAAUAUUUUGGAAAAAAGUUGAAAGUAUCAAUUUUUCCUACACAAAAGCAAUCAUUUUUUUUCUUCCUUUUUAUUUUCUUAAAUUUUUUUAAUGUUAAAUAAUCCGACGACGGAACCUCUGUAAGUGAAAUAGUAGUUUUCUUGCAUACUCUUGAGGUGAUGAGAUUUUUUCAAUUUUAUGCUAAAAGUAUUAAAGUCAAUUGAGAAUAAUUUUUAAUAAUUAAUUACUUGAUAAAUUUUUAAGGCUUAUUGGAUAACACAAAAUUAAGCUGGUACCAUUUUUUGAUGGGCAUUGUGAGGGUGCUAUAACCUUCCUCACACGUAACCGAACUCUAGAACCCUGUUCUGGUUAGUAGACCCGAACCUAUUCUUUUAGAGACCCUUAAACUUAGGUGUUCCCUGAAAAGAUAGAUUCCUUAGGUGGCCAAUCACACCUAGAUAAAAAAGAUUAGUGGUGACUCCUUCAAGCCAAUGUCUAAUGAUAGAUUUCCGAAUCUAGACGUUAUGACAGCUUGGUGACUCUGCUGGGGUAGUCCGAGAGUCAAGCCAGCAAAUAAAUUUGUAUUAUCCAAAAACCUAAUAAAAUUGAAUCUUUUGUAUAGAUUUUUUUAUUCGUUCAUGUUUAUUUACUUUAUUAAUCAUGUCAUUCAUAUGCAUGUGCAUAACAUGAGCUCUAUACCCGAGCUCCGUCUCUCUAGGAGGAAGUAAAGUACCUAUUGCUUUCAUGAGGUUUAAUACCUCCGUAGUGGCUAGCGAAAUACUCCCACUCAAAUUGAACAUUUUUCGCUUGUAGCCUGUAAUGGGUGAGGAUUGGGGUACCUUACUAGUUUAUGAUGGACAAUGAUGUAAGGAGCAAUUUGGGAACCUUUAGACUUUGACCUUAAACCACAUAUAGUGAACCUUAAGAGUGUCUAACCUAUAGAUAGAGCUAUCGCUCUUCCCUUUUAGAAUUGACCAAAAGUAUAGGGUUCAUCCUCUUAUUCUGUGUGAUGUUUUAAUUUACUUAUUUAUUUAUUCUUUCUUUUUUCUAGGCAUACUAACCUUUUUCUCAUUCUUUUGCAUUGGUUUAUACACAUAUCAUAAAGUUGCAUAAAGAACAUUUGCUUGAAAGACAGUCUUCAACAAAACUUUUCAUGGACUCCACUGAACGACUAGUUUGUUCUUCAUCCGUAUUAGCACCUUGUGAGACACCCAACGUAGUCAAAGCCUAAUAAAAAAAGAUUCAACUGAAGAUAAGAGAUUAUUUACCAAUCGGAUAUGAUUCUAUUUUGUCUCAAGAAACAUCUAUCCUCUUCAAACAGAACAAUCUAGAAGAUUUGGUUGAUAUCUGAAAGAAGAUGAGUCUGUCAAGACAAGAGCAGUUUUGCCAGAGACACGAUCAUAUAGCACACCUUCUAGCAGUAGUUAUUGAUGAUCAACUAAUCAGAGCUGCAGCAUAAUUUUGGGAUCCUGUAUAUAAGUGUUUUAUCUUUAAUGAAGCUGAUAUGACUCUCACCAUCGAAGAAUAUUCAAUUUUAUUGAGUUUGCACCUCGAGGCUCCUGAUAAGAUAUAUGUCAAAAAACACAAGUCAAGAUUUCGUAAGGGUCUGGCUCAACUCAUGGGGAUAGACAAGGAAAUUAUGGAUUCUCAUACAAAGAAGAAACAAGAAUAGGUUUGCCUACCUUGGAAGUUCUUUCAUGAGUUUCUAGUGCAACAUGCCAAUGAAGAACGAGAGUUAGAUAUAUUUACCUUAGCCAUCUACGGAAUGGUGAUCUUCUCAAAGGUUUUGGUUAUAUUGAGAUAACGAUGGUUGACUUCUUCGAGAGUGUGAUCAAUGGCUGUAAUCUUUCAACGGUAAUAUUAGCAGAGACUAUAAAAUCUUUGAGUUAUUGUUCUCGAAAUGGAGGGUGCUUUAUAGGUUGUAUACAAUUAUUGUACUUAUGGAUAAAAAACCAUUUUAAAUAGGGAAAUGGUGCAUUCUCAAAUCUUUAUAUCUGUAAUCGAGCUCCGAUCAAAAAAUUCUGUGAAAGUGGGUGGUCAGAAUGAAAGUUUAAAAAAGAAUGGAUAACUUUUCUACAAAAGUUAACCAGUACCGAUGUAAGAUGGUUAGCCCCAUGGAUGAAUCAUGAACCUAUGUUAUACCAAUGUGGGGAUAAUAUAGUGGUCCCACUUUUGGGUUUUAUGGGGAGUGACAAAUUAUGCAUCACUCUUAGUGAAAAGGUAGUUUGGGGCAGAACAAUUCAUUCCUAUGACUUAUGGGGUUCAUCAGUUAGAUUUUUCUUACAGUGAGCCUAAAAUAUUUCAGAGGAUGAAUGAGAUAAUUAAAGCAUGGAAAAAUCCUUGAAGAGUGAGUUCUGGACCAUUUAUUGAUAAAGUCACUCCAGGGUACUUGGUUUGGAGAGCAAAACGAAGAUAAGAAAUGGUAUUCACUUAUGAAAGCUUUCAACCGCCAAAAGAAGAAAAACUUAAAGAGACACCAUCAGAAUUAGAGCUUGCAACAAAAGAAUUUGAGUCUGAAAAGGGUAAGUUAAAGCAAAAAAUCCAGAAGCUUCAAGAAAAAAGCACCCAAUGAAAAGAUAAAGCUGAAAGUCAUGAAGCUAAAGUUUGCAAGAUUACUAAAGAACGUGAUAUAGCUGUUGAAGACCUAGCAGAGUUACACCAAGAGCAUAAAAGGUUAUGUGUGAGAGAAAGGACCAAAGAGAUAACUAUUGUUGAGCUGACUGAAGAAAAUAGAAGAUUGAAGCAAGAGUAUGCUGAAUUGGAAGAAGAAAGUACCUAAGUACAGACAAAGAAUAACAUACUAAACAAUUAUUUGAGUAGGCUAAGGUAAAAGUUGAAAGAACAAGAAGACCACAUUGCUGUAUUGGUUAAGGAGCAUAGAGAAUUAUCGUACAAAGUCUAGUGUGGUAAAAGAGAGAACUUGGAAAGACAAAAAUACAUUGAGCACCUAACCCAAAUCUAUAAAGGGAUAUGCAAGGUAAGAGAGAUGGUGGAAAAGGCAAAGGCAUUGAAACAAAUGGUGACCCCAGUAGGAGAACAUGGACAGCGUCUGUUGAACUUCAUUGAGAAAGCCAAGGCCUAGUAUGAACAGAUCAAACAAUUUUAUGGUUAUAGUUUUAGGAUGAUAAACUCAAUGUAAAUAAAAGUUUUUUGGAAUAAAUGAAAUCUUUAGGUUAAAUACUGUUUUUAAGGCAAAUGUUCUUUGCAUACAUGUAUUUUUCAUUCAUUGCAUUCUUAUUCAUUACAUUUAACAAAAUAACCAUGUGAUAAUCAUGCAAAUUUACUAAUUCUAAGAUAUGGUACUCAAGGUUCAAGGAUAGCUCCAUCUAACGAGAACCCUGUCCAUCGAUACAACACAAGAUCCAAGGCCAGACAAAAGAGCAAAAAAAUUCUCACAGAUUUGAAAAGCUAGAAAAAGUACAGGAAAAGAUUGAAAAUGAGUUGAACAAGAUUUUGGAUGCUAUCAAUAAGCUGAAUAAGGGAAAAAAAGUUGAAAAAAAUACAAGCCAACAAGUUUCCUCAUUACAAGAAGUGGCUGACCCUUUGUACCCUCUAGGUUUUUAUCCACCUCAAACUCAGUCUGUACAAGAGGUUCUACUGUAACAUUUCGCAUAUCCUAUAUAUCCUGGAAUACCAUCAGCUUCCAACCUAGGGUAUUAUCAUGCUAUGUAAAUCUUGUCUUUAUUGAAAAGAUAGUAGAACUGAUUCCUAAUCUAGAUGAUUUGAAAGAGAAGGAAAAAGAAAAGAUAAGAGUGAAAACUCAAGAAAGCUCUAAAAUUAGUAUGCUAGAACAAAGGCUGCGGGUUGUAGAAGGAAUUGGUUUCUAUGGUUCAGUUGAUGCUGCUGGGUUUUGCUUAGUCCCUGAUGUGGUCAUUCUUUCUAAGUUCAAAGUACUAAAAUUUGAAAACUAUGAUAGUACCAAGUGCCUAAAAACUCAUAUCACCAUAUAUUGUCGGAAGAUGGCAGCUCAUGCUUAUGAUGAAAAACUCUUGAUGCAUGUUUUUCAAGAUAGCCUUAUAGGCUCUGCUGCUAGGGGGUAUGUUCAGCUAGACAGAACUCGCAUUCACUCUUGGAGUGAUAUGGCUCAUGACUUCAUCAGUCAAUAUCGACAUAUUAUUGAUUUGGCUCCUGAUCAUUUAUUUUUAUAGAACUUAGAGAAAAAGGUAAAUGAGUCUUUAAAGAAUAUGCCCAGAGAUGGAGAGAUUUAGCUUUUCAAGUACAAGCUCUUCUGAUUGAAAAAAAGACUACAGUGCUAUUUGUUAGCACUUUGAAACCUCCCUAUUAUGAAAAAAUGAUAAUGAAUGCAAUAAAAAUUUUACUAAUAUGGUAAUUUUGAGAGAAAUUAUCGAGAGUGCCAUCAAGAAUGGUAAGCUGAAAGGAAGUGAAGCAUCUAGCAAGAGAGUCUCGAAAAAGAAAGAGACUGAAGCUCAGGCUAUGAGCUUUGAUAAACAGCAAUUUGGGAGUUAUCAAUCUUACUCACCACAAGGAUACUUGCCAUAUUACCCUACUAUAAAUAACACUUCCCCUUACCCAUACCAACCAUUUGUACAGUCACCUUAUCCCCAAACAUAUCAACCUCCUCCUAAGCCUCAGAAUACCACAUAUAGUCCUAACACUCAACUUACCCCAAAACUUCAAAAUUGUCCAACUAACCCCAUGGGUGGUUCACGAGAGCAAUGAACUACCCGUGAAAAAUCUGUAUUUGACCGAAUUUCAAUGACUUAUACAAAAUUAUAUAAGGAGCUUUACAACAGUCAUUUGAUUGCUCUUAGUAAAUUAGAACCCCUCAAACCACUUUACCCUAAGUGGUAUGAUCCCACAGCCUACUGCGACUAUCAUUAUGAGAUUGCUGAUCACUCCACUGAAAAUUACAUCGUCCUAAAACAAAAAGUGCAAUGGUUGAUCAAGGAUGGAAUGAUUUGCUUUGAUAUGGGAGGAGUGACUGCACUGAAUGUUAGUGGUAAUUUUUUGUCGAAUCAUAAUGUGAAUGCUAUAAGUGAAGAACAGGAGUGCCAUAUGAAGAAAGAAGUGGUAGAUAUUAAGACACCUCUUAAUCAACUGUUUGAUAUUUUAUGAAAAGCUGACAUGAUACAACUAGUGAGUCCACACAGUUAUCAUAGAGUAUAUAUAGUCGGCACUAGUUGUAAAUAUCAUAGUGGGGCAAUAGACCACUCUAUUGAAACCUGCGAGCAGUUUCACCAAGAGGUGUAAAAACUCUUAGAUUCAUACCAGAUAGAGGUCUAUGAAAGAAGCAAAGACUUAAGAAGUGUUGAGGUAUCCAUGACUGAUAAGCCUGUAAAGUUGUUUCCAAAGUCGGUGGCAAUCUAUUGUGGGAACAAACCAAAGUCCAUCAUAGACAAACUCAUUUUCAGGCUGAUAACUUUUAAAGUUUUGACUCUCUUCUUAUACAAGGAUGAUAAAGCUGUACCCUGGAGAUAUGACUGUGAUACAGUAGUUCAGGGGUAAGAAGAGGAUGUCUCUAAAGCUAACACUUCUAAUAUAACUGGUGUAGGAGGUAUUUCCCGAAGUAAAAGGUGCUACACUCUAGAAAUGUUAGAGAAGGCUCGAAGAAAGAGGGCCAAUAAAAGAGAAGGGUGAAAUAAUCCUGAAAUAAAACCUGAAAAAGAUCGUCUGAAAUCGGUAUCAGAAAAAAAGGUUUGUGAAUUUUUGAAACUGAUAAAACAUAGUGAGUAUUCAGUUGUUGAACAGUUGAAUAAAAUGCCAGCUCGAAUCUCAUUGCUAUCACUACUGUUAAACUCAAAGCCACACCGAAAUAUCUUACUGAAAGUGUUGAAUUAGGCAUACAUGGCACAUAAUGUAUCUGUUGAAUGUGUGAAUCACUUGGCUGGAAAUUUAGUCAUGUCGAAUCACAUUUCGUUUAGCGAUAAUGAGAUUUCUUUGGAGGGAAAGAGAAAUGCCAAGGUUCUGCAUAUCACGAUCAAGUGUAAGAGCCAUAUCAUAGCCAAGUUCCUUAUUGAUAAUGGCUCUAUUAUCAAUGUCAUGCUUAUGUCAACUUUGGAGAGGUUACCCAUUAAUUACUCUCAUAUGAAGGACAGUCAGAUAAUUGUGAGAGCUUUUGAUGAAACCAGAAGAAAAGUCUUGAGGGAUAGCGAGAUGCCCUUGCAAGUUGCCAUGUACUUUUAAUAUGAAGUUUCAAGUGAUGCAUAUCUCUCCAUAUUAUAGCUGUCUAUUGAGAAGGCCAUGGAUUCACAUGGCAGGAGUUGUACUUUUUACCUUAUACCAAAAGAUCAAGUUUAAUGUAGAAGGUCAACUAGUAGUGGUAGUUGUGGAGGAAGACAUACUAGUGACCCAACCAUUAAAUACUUCAUAUGUAGAGGCUGUCGAAAAAGUAUUAGAAUGCUCCUAUCAAUCUUUUGAGCUAGUUAAUUCCAUAGGUGAAGGAUUUAAAAAUCAACCUUUUUCAAGGAUAGUGAUGAGCCAAAUCAUCAAUAAGGGCUGGUAUCUAGGACUGGGGCUGGGCAAGAACUUGCAGGGAAUAAAGGAACCCCGACGGUGAUAGAUAAUAGCGACAAGUUAGGCCUAAGCUAUGAGAUGGCAGAAUGGGAGAUCAAGAGAAGGCUAGCAGGAAAGAUAGCAAGAUUAAUGGUUAUCCCACACCUGCAUAAAACUUUCAGACCUGGAGGAUUCAUGUACCCAGAUACAAGAAAAAACGUGAAAAAUAUUUUUGCCCAAUUAACCAUUGAUGCUAUUGAAAAUGAAGUAGAGAUUAAUCAAGAGGGGUGGGUCUGUCUUUGUCACCAGAUUAUGAGCUGAGCAACUGGAGUGCCAUUGAAGUGCCUAUGAUUGUUGAAACUAAUACAAUAUAAUUGUAAUAUCCCAAUAGCUAUUGCCCAAGGUAUUGGGGUGAUCUUUCUUCUUUGGGCUAUUUAUCUUUUAUUAUUUUUAAUAAAAAUUAGGAAAGAUGUAUUUUCAUUCAUUUUUUUGUGUCUUCAUUAUUCCUAUCUUUUCAAGCACAUCUUGCCAAUAUAUCCCAUUUCAUUCAAUUUCAAGUCUUUAAAUGAACAUGAAGAUAAUUAUGAUAAUAAUCAAGAAGUUAGUUUUGAGAACUCAAUUAACACUGAUGAACUUGACAAUGAAGAGAAUUCUGAGGAAUAUGUUAUGCCUCCGGAUAUAAUGAGUUUGAUUGAAUAAGAAAAUAAGCCAAUUGAGCUGUAUCAAGAUAUAGUUGACUUAGUGAAUCUGAGAGAUGAAGAGAAUUAAAAAGAUGUCAGAAUUGACACUUCACUUUCAUCAAGAGAUAGACAAUGAUUGGUAGAUCUACUUCGAGAAUUUGUAGAUGUAUUUACUUGAUCUUACCAGGAUAUGCUAGGGUUGAGCACGGAGAUAUGGAGCACAGAUUACCCCUAAAGUUAGAAUCUAAGCCAGUUCAACAGAAACUGAGACGAAUGAAGCCUGAAAUGUUACUAAAGAUAAAAAAAGAGGUGAAGAAAUAAUUUGAUGCAGGUUUUCUACAAGCGGCUAAGUAUCCAGAGUGGGUAACCAAUAUAGUACCCGUUCUUAAUAAAGAUAGAAAGAUAUAAAUAUGUGUAGACUAUCGUGACUUCAAUAAGGCUAGUCCAAAAGAUAACUUUCUUUUACCUUAUAUCGACACACUGGUAGAUAAUAUGGCUAGGCAUUCAAUUUUCUCCUUUAUGGAUGGUUUUUCAGGGUAUAAUAAGAUAAAAAUGACUGCAGAUGAUAUAAAAAAGACUACUUUCGUGAUUAUGUGAGGAACCUUUUGCUACAAGAUCAUGCCUUUUGGGUUAAAGAAUACUGGAGUAACAUAUCAAAAGGCCAUAGUAACAUUCUUUCUUGACAUGAUGCACAAAAAGAUCGAGGUGUAUAUAGACGAUAUAAUUGUAAAAUCUUGUGAGGAUGAAGAUCAUGUCACCGACCUCAAAAAGUUAUUUGAGAGGUUAAGAAGAUUUCAGCUUAAGUUAAACCCAGUCAAGUGCACAUUUAGGGUAAAGUCAAGAAAAUUACUAGGCUUUGUGGUCAGUGAAAGAAGAAUUGAAGUCGAUCCAAAUAAGAUACGGGCUAUUCAGAAUUUGUCACCUCCCAGCACACCAAAAGAAGUUUGAGAUUUUCUAGAGAGAUUGAACUAUAUUUCUCGAUUUAUUUCUCAGCUCACUUACAAAUAUGAUCCCAUAUUUAAGCUUCUUUGCAAGAAUAAUCUUGAAAAAUGGAAUAAGGAAUGUCAAGAGGCGUUUGAUAAAAUUAAGCAAUACUUUUCAAACCCUUCAAUGUUGGUGCCAUUUGUUCCAGGGAAACUUUUAAUUCUAUACUUGACAGUAUGUGAAAAUUCAAUGGGAUGUGUGCUGGGGCAACAAGAUGAGUCUAGUUGAAAGGAUAGAGCUAUUUAUUAUUUGAGUAAAAAGUUCACAGAGUACGAAUCCAAGUAUUCUUCAUUGGAGAAAAUGUGUUAUGUAUUAGCGUGGACUGCCAAAAGACUCAGACAGUAUAUGCUCUAUCAUAUCACAUGACUCAUAGCAAAAUUGGAUCCAAUUAAAUAUAUCUUUGAGAAGCUUUCUUUGUCUGAAAGAAUUACUCGAUGACAAGUAAUGCUCUCGGAGUAUGAUAUUAUAUAUGUGAGCUAAAAGGCAAUAAAAGGGGGCACUAUAGCAGAAUUUUUUUAUAGAUCGUACUACUGAAGAGUAUGAACCAAUGAAGUUAAAAUUUCCUGAUGAAGACCUAAUGACUAUUUCCUAACUGGAGAAAAGAGAGCAUGGAGAAAAAUGCUGGAGAAUGUAUUUUGAUGGAGUGCCAAUGCCUUGGGACAUAGAAUUGGGACAAUUCUGAUCUCUCCAAAAGAAUAAUACUGCCCUAUAACAACAAGGUUAAAUUUUAAUUGCACAAAUAACAUUACUGAAUAUGAGAAAUGCAUCAUGGGCUUACAAGCUGCUAUAGCUAAGAGAGUGAAAGUAUUAAAAGUGUUUGGAGACUCAGCUCUAGUUAUAUAUCAGUUGAAAGAGGAAUGAGAGAUGAGAGAUUCAAAACUCAUUUCAUAUUAUAAGUAUAUUCUAGAGUUGAUGAAACAAUUUGAAGACAUCCAGUUUGACCACUUACCUCAAGAAGAGAAUCUGAUUGCUGAUGCAUUGGCUACUAUGGUUGUAAUGAUUCGAAUUAAUGAUAAUAUUGACAUUCAACCCAUCAAGCUAGAUGUUAAAGAGAUACCAGCUCAUUGCUCCAAUAUAGAAAAAGAAAAAGAUGGGAAGCCUUGGUAUUAUGAUAUCCUACAAUAUGUUAAGGAUCAGCAAUACCCAGUUCAAGCAAUAAAAAAUGAUAAAAGGGUCAUCCGAAGGUUGGCUAUGAGCUUUUUCCUAGAUGGGGAUGUUUUGUAUAAAAAAAAUUAGGAUCAAGUAUUACUUAAGUGCGUAAGUAAGGCUGAAGCGAGGAAAAUCAUUGAAGAGGUGCAUGAUGAAAUAUGUAGGGUACAUACCAGUGGACAUAUGAUGACGAGACAUAUUAUGAGAGCAGGAUAUUACUGGUUGACAAUGGAGAGUGAUUGCAUUGAUUAUACUUGUAAGUGCCAUAAAUGCCAGAUAUAUGCUGAUAAGAUUAAUGUUUCGACAUCUGCUUUACAUGUUAUAACACCACCUUGGCCAUUCUUAAUGUGAGGCAUGGAUGUCAUUGGUCCUAUCACCCCAAAGGCUUCUAACGGGCAUAGAUUCAUUUUUGUGAUGAUAGAUUACUUCAUAAAAUAGGUAGAGGUAGCAUCGUAUGCAAGUGUAACACGAUCUGUGAUUUACAAGUUCAUAAAGAGAGAUAUCAUCUGUAGAUAUAGACUUUUAGAGAGAAUUAUUUCAGACAAUGCCAAGAAUCUAAAUAGUAAGAUGAUGCAAGAAAUGUAUGCUUAAUACAAGAUCAAGCAUCAUAACUCGACACCAUACCAUUCGAAAAUGAUGGGGACAGUUGAGGCAGCCAACAAGAACAUAAAAAAGAUUCUAUAGAAGAUGAUUAAGACUUACAAAAACUGACAUGAAAAAUUACCAUUUGUGUUGCACGUAUAUCGAACAUCAGUGCGCACCUCUACUGGGGUAACCUCAUUUUUUUAACUCCAUACUUACUUAAUUUAGUUAAUCCAACGGUGAUGCCUAACCUCGAUAUUCAAACUUUUAUAAAGAGGUAUUACACUUUAUUAGAUUAUAUAUCUUCUGUUUCUUCAUAAGUAAUUUUAUUUAUGUAUUAAGUAAUUUUUUUCUUUUCAAUUUAGGAUAAUAUUUGCAUUCGAUAAGAAGAUAAAGAAACUGAAAUGGAUGUCAUUAUCGAUAAAUAUAAAAUAUAUUCUUUUAUGCUAAGUUUGUGUAGAUAAAUAUUUCUUAAACCCACUCAAUUUAAUUUUCAGGUACCUCGUCAACCGGAUAAUAUUGAAUAUAGAUAUUAUGUCCUUCAUUUUAUGCGAAAGAUAGUGUUACAUGAUUUUAUGACCACACCAUUCAAGGUUAGUAUAAAUUUCAUAAACUCAUUAUAUCUUAAAAAAAUAAAAAGGUACAUUAUGUUCUCAUUUCUUAGCAUUUACUUUUGAUUUUUUUUUUAGUGGGAGAGUAAAGAAAGCUUUAGGAAGAGGAAUUGGAUGAAGUCCAUAAAGAAUGGUGUGCUCAUGUAUUAUCAUUUAUCAAUGUUGAUAAACCAUCAGGUUAGACAUUGUUGGUUGAAUGUAAAUAUAUAAGGAACAAAUUGUUAUAAUGUUUUAAACAUGCCAUGUUGAAUGUAAACUUUAAGUUUGUACAUUGACGAAUUGGUUUAAUAUUAUUGUUAUACUUAAUAUGAAUACACUAUGUGUAUUUAAUAAAUUAUUGAGUAUGAUUAUUUUAGAAAAGUAUAUUAAUAUGGUAACGUUAUCAGUUUUAAUUUCAGAUGUGUCAUCAAUUUAUUGAAAUACAACAAUAUUCAUUAUGUAAAUUCCAAAAUGUAAUUCGUAGUAUCACAUAUAUAAACCAAAUAUUUUCUAUGCAUUAAUAAACAACAGACAGUAAACGUUUUUUAGGCAUAAACCUAUAACUGACUUGACAUAUACAAUAUCAAAUAUGUUUUUUUUGAUGGGAUUAAGGAAGGUGUUUUUAACAAGAAAUUGCUUUGAAUAAUCCCUAAUAAAAAAUUUUGAAGGCAUUUUUAACCAAAACUGCCUUCAAUAAUCACCCAAAAAAUUUAUUAUGUGAAAUAUUAAAGGUGUUUUAGGCAAAAUAUGCCUUCAAGAAUUCAUUGCAUCUUUUUUGUAUGGAUUAUUGAAUGCGUUUUAAAAAAAAUACCUUUAAUAAUACCAACUAAAAAUUAAUCGAAUAGAUUAUGAAAGUUGUUUUCCUACAGGUAACGUCUUGAAUAAUCCAUAACAAAAUAUUAUUGAAGGCGUUUUUGGAUAUAAUCGCCUUUAAUAAUCCGACCAUUAAAAUUUAUUGUCUUGAAUAUUAAUGGCGUUUUAGGCAAAAAAAUACCUUCAAGAAUCUGUCUCAUCUUUUUUGUAUAAAUUAUUGAAGGCUUUUUAAACAAACGCCUUCAAUAAUACUAAUUAAAAAUUAAUCGAAUGGAUUAUGAAGGGCGUUUUCCUAUAGGUAACACCUUAAAUAAUCUAUAAGAAAAUGUUAUUGAAGGCGUUUUUUGAUAUAAUUGCCUUCAAUAAUUUGACCAUUAAAAUUUAUCAUUUAGAAUAUUAAAGGUGUUUUGAGCCAAAAACGUCUUUAAGCAUCCGUUCAAACUUUUGUCUAUGGAUUAUUGAUGGCAUUUUUAACAAAAAUCGCCUUUAAUAAUCAUAACAAAAUUUUAUUGAUUGUAUUAUAAAAAGUGAGUUCAGCCAAAAAUGCCUUCAAGAAUCGAUUCAUAUUUUUCCUAUGGAUUAUUAAGGGCGAUUUUCGCAAAAAAUUGCCUUCAAUAUUUUCUGUAAAAUUUUUUAGAGCAAUUGGUGAACAUUUUUUUGCCAAGAAAAUGCCUAGAAUAAUCAAUUACAAAUAUCUCUGGAAAAACCCAAAAAAGGCUAAAGGGAGAGAUCAAACCUACAACCUUAUGGUUAACAUCCGUACAAUCCAAACAUUUUGAUAUGAUAUUUAUUGAAUGCGUUUUUGAACAAAAACGACUUCAAAAACGCCUUCAAUAAGUCUGUGAAAUUUUUUGGUCCAAUUGUUAAAGGUGUUUCUUGUACAAAAUGCCUUCAAUAAUCUCAUACAAUUUUUUAUUAGGUGAUUAUUGAAGGCGUUGUUUGCCAUAAACACGCCUUUAGUAUUCACUGAAAUUUUUAAGACAGAAUUAUUCAAGGCGUUUUAGUUGAAAAAUGCUGCUGAUAUCAAGUCUUGGGUAGCGUUUAUAAGUAACAACGUCGCUAUUUAAAUAUUUAGUGGCGUUUUGAUAAUAAACGCCUUAAGUUUUAUAAAAACAAUGAAGCUAAAGGCGUUUGUAAGUGAAAGGCCGCUACAAAACUGUCGCUAAUAUGCUAUUUUCUUGUAGUGUUUGUCAAAUUAUAAUUAUUUUGGUUCAAACAUAAUUAUUUAAAAUAUAAAUAAAAUUAAUAUAAAAAUUAAUUUUACUCAUUAAUAAUUAAAAUUUUCUAUCCAAUGUGAGAUGCACCACAUUCUAAAUUGUCAAUAAAAUCAUCCAAGACUAUAUUUCAUUCUAGGAUAUAAAAUGUGAGAACAUCUAAUUUUUGCGGAAAUCAUGGAAGCUCCGGUCAAUAUUUGUACUCCGCUGUUUUGCUAUUUGGUGUUAUGCCAUCGGCCGGAACCAGCCAAAGAGCGCUCACUUCGGCAACUUCUAUCUAAGUGACACCAUUGCACGCACGUUGCAGUUGUAUAUAGAUAAUGCCGGCUUAAUCCAGCUUCCAUUUUCAUCUUGAUCCUAGCCUGCAUGAAGUCUUUAUCUACUGACUUUUUUCAGCAUUUACUUUGGCAACAAGGCUUGUUCAGGUUUUAUAUCUUAGACAUCGAUCCCUGGCUCUCUUGGCAAAGCAUAUCAGCUCUUGUCACAGACAUCUGUGCUCUAAAGCAUGUUGAGAACGUGAGGACAAAAAAAAAAAAAGACUGCACAUAGAAGCCUGGGAGAGUUAGAAUCAUCAGAACUUGCAUGAUCAGCAAAACUACUGUCAAUGUUCAAGUGGAAAUUAGCUAUUUUCAGCGUUAUUGCGUUUUAGGCGUACCCAAGGCGAGUGACAAUAUUCAACAUGAAGGGUCACCACACAUCAGACAAAACCUGGCAAAGUAAGUGUCUGAUAUGAGAAAUGCAUUUGAUUGGUCACGGCCUUAAACUUCAAGGCAUGUUUCAAAGGCAAUCCGAGGAAUAUUUGAUUUCCAAUUUUCUUUGUUACUUCUUACAAAGAUUUCCGUAGUUACUAUUCCAAGAUUUUCUUUGAUAUUAGAUUUCAUCUUAUCCCCAACUUAUAUUCCAAGAUCGAUUAAAAAUUAAUGCUUGAGGAUAAAAACAAAAGUACAUAUAUCUAUACACGUAGAUCAAUAAAAUAUAAAAGAAAAUUAAUUGGAUUAACAUGUUAUUUGCAUGGAUAAUGGGGUUUUAAUUUCUGUAAUUCAAAAUUAUUGAAUUAACCCAACUUGUACAUAUGCACCGCCUUAUUACGUAUAGGAUAAUGAUAUAUCCUUGCAAUUUUCAAUAAUCACUCAAGUUAUUAUGGUUUUAUCUUUUAUUGCUAAAUUAGUUUUUUUAAUUAAUUAAAUUCCUCAAAAUACAUGCGCACGUACCUCUAUAAAAAGCACACAAACUAGCAAUUGCAUGAAGUCAUAUACUGUGAGAAAUUAAGAACACAAAACCCUACUGAUAACUUCCUUUCAACCAAGAAAAUAAUUGAAGCAAAGGCUUUCAGUUUCAGUGUGAUGGUAAGGAUCAAGGCUUUCAUCUUUGAAAAACCUUGGUUUCAUGGCUAGCUACUUUUUAUGAAUGUACAUUAAAGGUUUUCUUGAUAUCCCCUUCUUUCUUCUCUGCAGGCAUUGCUAGUUAUUGCUUUUUUUAUUUUGAACUUUGGUUUUGGGAUUGGUAAUUGCCAAUCCCUUAAUGUCAUCAAUUUUGGGGCUGUUGGAGAUGGAAGAACAGAUGAUUUACUGGUAAAUUUUUCAUCUUUUUUAAGCUUAAUUUAAGCUGCAUGUACGUACAAUAUUGUACAUGCAUGUUUUUUUGUAUACUGCAUAUAGUAUAUUCCUAUUUAAUUAUUUUCUUUUUGCUCUCUCUCUCUCUCUCUCUCUCUCUAUAUAUAUAUAUAUAUAUAUAUAUAUACGAUUAUAUCUGAUCUUACUAAUAAUUAUGUGCUAAUUUUGAAUAUGUAGGCUUUUUCAAAAGCGUGGACAGCUCUGUGUGCAGCAACUAAUAAUCCAACCUUGGAAAUCCCUUCUGCC